CGGCCGCGGUGGCCGCAGCACAGCCGGCCGCCGCCCCCGGGCCUGUCCCGCCGGGUGCUCCGGGAGCCCCGAGCCCGGCCCCGAGCCAGGCCCGCGGGCGGCGGCGGCGGAGGAGCUGGGCAGGUGUAUGCGGCUGGAAGAUGGCGCCCUCGGGCCCCGGUGGCGUGAGGCGGCGGUGCCGGCGGGUGCUCUACUGGAUCCCUGUGGUGUUCAUCAGCUUGCUUCUGGGCUGGUCCUACUAUGCUUACGCGAUCCAGCUGUGCAUAGUGUCCAUGGAAAACAUUGGUGAACAAGUUGUGUGCCUCAUGGCUUAUCAUCUACUUUUCGCAAUGUUUGUCUGGUCAUACUGGAAAACCAUUUUUACAUUGCCCAUGAAUCCUUCAAAAGAAUUCCAUCUCUCUUAUGCAGAGAAAGAAUUGCUGGAGAGAGAGCCAAGAGGAGAAGCCCAUCAGGAAGUUCUGAGGCGAGCAGCCAAAGACCUUCCCAUCUACACCAGGACCAUGUCCGGCGGUAAGCCCUGAUAAUGAGGGCCUUGGAACAGCUCCCAAAUGAGGCGUGAUGACACUCAGAAAGCAUCUUCAUAUUCAUAAACUGCCAAACAUUCAUUCAAGAAUGCUGUUGGUAUUGCUUAGGUUGCUAUUAAAUCUUUCCUGCACAGUUCCAUAAAACAGAAUGGAAACAUGAGUCACACUGUGGCACGGAGAUCUCAGAACUGACUCUAAUUCUGUCCCUCCUACUUGGUCGUGACUUGGUGAUCACAUAAAGGGCUGCUGAAGUUUACAUCCAUAGUACAAAAUUUGCUUUUAAAGUUUUAAUUAUGAACCUUCCUAUUUGUAUUUAAGGAAGCAAUAUGUAUAGGGGGUGUAAAACUAAUACUUUUGCAAAUAUUUUUUUAAUAAGAUUAAAGCAGUAAUUGCAUGAGUUGUGUAAAACAUAAUUUAGGUAUUGUUAUCUGCCUUUAAAAUGGGAACUAUUAUACAAAUAACUUAAUCCUGCUUAGCUUAUGUUUUAUGGUCAUUUAACACCUAACUAAGCCAUUGUUUUAAAAAACCAACACACAUGGACUACAGAUAAUUACUACCAAGACUUACCCAGACAUGUUUUGUGGCUUUAAACGUCUGCCUGCCUCUCAUGACCCAUUAGCUCAUUUGUUGAGUACGUAAAAUAUGGCUAGACCAAGAUGAGAAUUCUUAAA
rnacentral:lncRNA from 1 species